GUAAUUCCGGUGAAGAUGCCGGAUACCUGCGACAGGACGGAAAGACCCCAUGGAGCUUUACUGUAGCUUGACAUUGGGUCUUGGUACUACUUGUACAGGAUAGGUGGGAAGCUUUGAUACAAGGACGACAUGUUUGGCGGAGCCAUCCUAGGGAUACCACCCUUGUAGUACUGGGACUCUAACCAUAGGCCAUGAAUCUGGUCUUGGGACACUGUCAGGUGGGCAGUUUGACUGGGGCGGUCGCCUCCCCACAGGAAACGCAGGCGCUCAAAGGUUCUCUCAGUACGGUCGGAAAUCGUACGUAGAGUGUAAAGGCGUAAGAGAGCUGGAUUGCAAGACAUACCUGGCGAGCAAGGAUGAGAAUCGGACUUAGUGAUCCGGUGGUUCGGCGUGGCAGGGCCAUCGCUCAACGGAUAAAAGCUACCCUGGGGAUAACAGGCUUAUCU
rnacentral:rRNA from 1 species